rnacentral:rRNA from 1 species
UGAUCCUGGCUCAGGACGAACGCUGGCGGCGUGCUUAACACAUGCAAGUCGAGCGGUAAGGCCUUUCGGGGUACACGAGCGGCGAACGGGUGAGUAACACGUGGGUGAUCUGCCCUGCACUUCGGGAUAAGCCUGGGAAACUGGGUCUAAUACCGGAUAUGACCUCCUAUCGCAUGGUGGGUGGUGGAAAGAUUUAUYGGUGCAGGAUGGGCCCGCGGCCUAUCAGCYUGUUGGUGGGGUAAUGGCCUACCAAGGSGACGACGGGUAGCCGACCUGAGAGGGUGACCGGCCACMCUGGGACUGAGACACGGCCCAGACUCCUACGGGAGGCAGCAGUGGGGAAUAUUGCACAAUGGGCGAAAGCCUGAKGCAGSGACGCCGCGUGAGGGAUGACGGCCUUCGGGUUGUAAACCUCUUUCAGCAGGGACGAAGCGCAAGUGACGGUACCUGCAGAAGAAGCACCGGCUAACUACGUGCCAGCA